rnacentral:rRNA from 1 species
AUUGAACGCUGGCGGCAUGCUUUACACAUGCAAGUCGAACGGUAACAGGCCGUCGGGUGCUGACGAGUGGCGAACGGGUGAGUAAUGCACCGGAACGUACCCAGAGGUGGGGGAAAACGCAGCGAAAUCUGUGCUAAUACUUCAGGUGCUCUGAGUAUGAAACCGGGGGACGGACCGGCAAGGUUUAGCCUCGCGCCUUUGGAGAGGCCUAUGUAGGCUUAGCUAGUUGGUGGGGUAAAGGCCUACGACGGCGACAAUGCGUAUCUGCUACGAGAGGAAGAACAGCCAGACUGAGACUGAGACACGGCAGAGACUCCUGCAGGAGGCAGCAGCGGGGAAUUUUGGAGAAUGGGGCCAAGGGGAAUAUAGCAAUGUCGCGUGAAGCAAGAAGGCGUUCUGCCUGUAGAGCGAUUUUGGCAGGAACGUUGUGGUGUCCUCUAAUACCGGACGAUAAUGACAGUACCUGCAGAAUAAGCUCCGGCUAACUCCGUG